AGAUCGUGGACUAAUAAUAUUAGUUUAAUACCGUUCGAGAAAUAGGCCCCUAAGCGAUUCUAGGUAAAACUAUAAGGAAAUUAGCAGAGAAUUAAAAGGUACCUUGUAGCAGAAUUUUCUGUAAUGUAGAGAAGGGAGCGUCUACUAGCACGCACAACGCGAUCGCAACCAUCAAUGACAGUGAAAUGUCCGUGUAAAACAGCACACGCAAACACGAUCCAGCCCACUGCCAUCGCCCAGAGCCCCCUCAUGAACGAGUUCAGGAAAUUUGACCAGAACUGGGUAAACUUGGCGGCCGGAUUGUUGCAGUACACUAUCCCAG